rnacentral:tRNA from 1 species
UCUAACGUGGCAGAUAAGUGCAUUGGAUUUAAGCUCCAUAAAUAAAGUGUUAAACUUUCAUUAGAA